rnacentral:rRNA from 1 species
GGGCCCGCACAAGCAGUGGAGUAUGUGGUUUAAUUCGAAGCAACGCGAAGAACCUUACCAGGGCUUGACAUACAGUCGGAUGUGGUGGAAACACUGCAGUCCUUCGGGACGGCUGUACAGGUGGUGCAUGGUUGUCGUCAGCUCGUGUCGUGAGAUGUUGGGUUAAGUCCCGCAACGAGCGCAACCCCUGUUGUUAGUUGCCAUCAUUAAGUUGGGCACUCUAACGAGACUGCCGGUGACAAAUCGGAGGAAGGUGGGGACGACGUCAAAUCAUCAUGCCCCUUAUGUUCUGGGCUACACACGUACUACAAUGGCUAUUACAGAGGGAAGCGAAGGAGCAAUUCGGAGCAAAUCCCCAAAAAUAGUCCCAGUUCGGAUUGUGGGCUGCAACCCGCCCACAUGAAGUCGGAAUUGCUAGUAAUGGCAGGUCAGCAUACUGCCGUGAAUACGUUCCCGGGCCUU